CUCCACGGUGGUGCAGUUGGUAGCACUGUUGCCUUGCAGCAAGAAUGUUCUAGGUUGGACUCCUGGCCGGGAGU